rnacentral:lncRNA from 1 species
CUUUUGUUAGAGUUCGGCUGUGCCUUCGGUCCUUACCUACUGGUUCGCAAUCCGGCGCCAUCGCGCUUUGGGCGAGCAUGGUGAUGGGGAGUAGCGAGGUGGGAACCGAGCUGACGUCUGUCUGGUCUUGGCGACCGUGGCGCGCGACCGGGAGGACUGGCCGGAGCAUGUCUCCAGGAGACGGGUCAAUGGUGCGGAGGUGACGCAGGAGCUCUUGGUGUGACCUGGGCCUAUGUAUGAUACCACAGGAGCUUGACCGAGGAUGCUCUGGUGUUUUAAUAAGUGACCCCUUUUUCUGAAGAUGUUGGGUGGUUAAUGAAAGAAGGAAUUGUAUUCUUGGCGAUGUCUGAAAGAAAUGUGUGGCUUUGAAAGAAGAUUAUGAAAUAUACAGGAAAGGAGUGAAAUCAAAGGAUGUUUUUCCAUGAUAGAGUAAUGUUUACACAUGUAUUCAGUAAUGUGAAGAUUUAUAUAAGCAGUAAGAAGAACUAAGUUCUUUAUGUGAGCCGGACUUCUAAGUUACUAGGCUGGUGGCCUUCAGCUCUAAUUUUAAUUUACAUCAGUCUUUCAGGGACCUGGGAUUUCCAUGAUUGCUGGCUUGGUUUUUCCCCAGAGUCCUGAUGUGUAGAAAUAACUUUGAGGGGAUACAACCAGUAGGAAACGUGGCUGGGGAUCAGUGUAACCGAACCUGUGGCUGUGUGAAAGCCAGUAACUGUUUCCCUGAUGUCAUCUAUGCCUGAGCACUUUCUUUAUGUGUGGAAGAAGGUAUUUGUGCCCUGGCCUCACUGCCUCCGUAAUGUCAUCCAGACCAGCAGACACCCAGACCAGCAGACACCCAUUAGUUAGUUGGAUUAGGAGUCAGUGCUGGAUGGCAUGGCUGUACAG